rnacentral:rRNA from 1 species
CCGCGAAACUGCGAAUGGGUCAUUAUAUAAGUUAUCGUUUAUUUGAUAGUACCUUACUACUUGGAUAACCGUGGUAAUUGUAGAGCUAAUACAUGCUAAAAAUCCCGACUUCGGAAGGGAUGUAUUUAUUAGAUUAAAAACCAAUGCCCUUCGGGGCUCACUGGUGAUUCAUGAUAACUCCUCGAAUCGCAUGGCCUUGUGCCGGCGAUGGUUCAUUCAAAUUUCUUCCCUAUCAACUUUCGAUGUUUGGGUAUUGGCCAAACAUGGUUGCAACGGGUAACGGAGGGUUAGGGCUCGACCCCGGAGAAGGAGCCUGAGAAACGGCUACUACAUCCAAGGAAGGCAGCAGGCGCGCAAAUUACCCAAUCCCGACACGGGGAGGUAGUGACAAUAAAUACUGAUACNGGGCUCUUUUGGGUCUUGUAAUUGGAAUGAGUACAAUUUAAAUCCCUUAACGAGGAACAAUU